rnacentral:rRNA from 1 species
CCUACGGGAGGCUGCAGUGAGGAAUAUUGGUCAAUGGGCGCGAGCCUGAACCAGCCAAGUAGCGUGAAGGAUGACUGCCCUACGGGUUGUAAACUUCUUUUAUAAAGGAAUAAAGUGCGGCACGUGUGCCUUUUUGCAUGUACUUUAUGAAUAAGGAUCGGCUAACUCCGUGCCAGCAGCCGCGGUAAUACGGAGGGUCCGAGCGUUAUCCGGAUUUAUUGGGUUUAAAGGGAGCGUAGAUGGGUUGUUAAGUCAGUUGUGAAAGUGUGCGGCUCAACCGUAAAAUUGCAAUUGAUACUGGCAGUCUUGAGUACAGUAGAGGUAGGCGGAAUUCGUGGUGUAGCGGUGAAAUGCUUAGAUAUCACGAAGAACUCCGAUUGCGAAGGCAGCUUACUAGACUGCAACUGACAUUGAUGCUCGAAAGUGUGGGUAUCAAACAGGAUUAGAUACCCGGGUAGUC